rnacentral:rRNA from 1 species
UACGUAGGGUGCAAGCGUUGUCCGGAAUUAUUGGGCGUAAAGAGCUCGUAGGCGGUCUGUCGCGUCGGAUGUGAAAACCCAGGGCUCAACCCUGGGCCUGCAUUCGAUACGGGCAGACUAGAGUUCGGUAGGGGAGACUGGAAUUCCUGGUGUAGCGGUGAAAUUCGUAGAUAUUGGGAAGAACACCGAUGGCGAAGGCAGCCAUCUGGACCAACACUGACGCUGAGGCGCGAAAGCGUGGGGAGCAAACAGG